UGGGGAAUUUUGCGCAAUGGGGGAAACCCUGACGCAGCAAUGCCGCGUGGAGGAUGAAGUCCUUCGGGACGUAAACUCCUUUCGAUCGGGACGAUUAUGACGGUACCGGAAGAAGAAGCCCCGGCUAACUUCGUGCCAGCAGCCGCGGUAAUACGAGGGGGGCGAGCGUUGUUCGGAAUUAUUGGGCGUAAAGGGUGCGUAGGCGGUUUGGUAAGUCUUGUGUGAAAUCUACAGGCUCAACUUGUAGUCUGCACGAGAAACUGCCGGGCUUGAGUGUGGGAGAGGUGAGUGGAAUUUCCGGUGUAGCGGUGAAAUGCGUAGAUAUCGGAAGGAACACCUGUGGCGAAAGCGGCUCACUGGACCACAACUGACGCUGAUGCACGAAAGCUAGGGGAGCAAACAGGAUUAGAUACCCUGGUAGUCCUAGCCCUAAACCAUGAUUGCUUGGUGUGACGGGUACCCAAUCCCGCCGUGCCGUAGCUAACGCGUUAAGCAAUCCGCCUGGGGAGUACGGUCGCAAGGCUG
rnacentral:rRNA from 1 species